GUGCUCACUUCAGCAGCAAUGUACUAUAAAAUUGGAAUGAUACAGAGAAGAUCAACACGCCCCCCCCAUGAAACACAAAUCUGUGAAGUGCUUUUUU
rnacentral:snRNA from 1 species